UUGUGCUUCGUGCUUCUCUUCCCUAUCUUUUUAGGACAUGCAUUUUACACCCUUUAUUUGAGACGACUUUUUGGGCUAUUCCGCGUCCAAAUUUCAAGGCAAAGGGAAAAUUUUGCAUCGUUGAAACUUCUCUGGGCGUCCAUUAUAUGGCACCAUUUUUAAUAUGUUCUUAACGGGCUACACAACAUGACACUCAGUUAUAGCUAUUUAUAUGACCACCUUUUAGAGCCGUUGGUUUGCACAUUUGCCACAUGCCGUUCUUUUUGUCUUAAAGCAAGCCACUAUAAAAAAGAGGUAGUGAAAUCGAACGGUCACGAUCCGAUUUCUUUAGAAUUUGGUUCAGAGGGACUUUUUAUUUAGUUCAGACGGAUUUUUCGUUACGUAAAAGUUUCUGCUUUGUCCAUGUUAAUUUGUCGUCUAAUUUAAUUUGAAAUAUGUUCUUAUCUCGAUUUGUAUCCAGGAUUUUUUCAUUCCUUUUUCUUUAAAAAAUGGAGUUAGACAAAUACUACAUAUAAAUUUUUAGUUCAGUCCCACGUACUUAAUUCAAUGAGCUUGCAAACACUGCACAACUAUCCUUGAACCACCUUAAAAUAUUGAGGAUUUUUUUCUUUCCUUUUUCUUUUAAUAAAAAUGGAGUUAGACGCAUCAGUUUAUAAUCUGGACUCUUAUAUCUAUGACUACUAUCCAGAUUUAUAUAACUAUAUCCCAUCCCAUCCAAACAGCUCCUAACCUACCUC
rnacentral:lncRNA from 1 species